rnacentral:rRNA from 1 species
GAUGAACGCUGGCGGCGUGCCUAAUACAUGCAAGUCGAGCGAACGGACGAGAAGCUUGCCUCUCUGAUGUUAGCGGCGGACGGGUGAGUAACACGUGGAUAACCUACCUAUAAGACUGGGAUAACUUCGGGAAACCGGAGCUAAUACCGGAUGAUAUUUUGAACCGCAUGGUUCAAUAGUGAAAGACGGUCUUGCUGUCACUUAUAGAUGGAUCCGCGCUGCAUUAGCUAGUUGGUAAGGUAACGGCUUACCAAGGCAACGAUGCAUAGCCGACCUGAGAGGGUGAUCGGCCACACUGGAACUGAGACACGGUCCAGACUCCUACGGGAGGCAGCAGUAGGGAAUCUUCCGCAAUGGGCGAAAGCCUGACGGAGCAACGCCGCGUGAGUGAUGAAGGUCUUCGGAUCGUAAAACUCUGUUAUUAGGGAAGAACAUAUGUGUAAGUAACUGUGCACAUCUUGACGGUACCUAAUCAGAAAGCCACGGCUAACUACGUG